UUUAUAAGUAACCAUGUCAACAUGAAACUUCUGAAGACCUGUGUCAUCCUUCUCCUUCUGACUGUGUUGUUCUUUGUACUAAGAAACAUGGACCUGCUGCAGUACCAGAGGAGGACUCACCAUGUGGCUAAAAGGAUUUAUGAGUAACCAUGUCAACAUGAAACUUCUGAAGACCUGUGUCAUCCUUCUCCUUCUGACUGUGUUGUUCUUUGUACUAAGAAACAUGGACCUGCUGCAGGUGAGAACUGGGAUUAUUUGAUCCGUCUGAUUUCUCCUCUUUUUUACUUCGUUUGGAGAGUUUGUUUAACACAUAUCUGACAACAUACAUGGCUUGCUGUGCGGUUAACAGACCAUCCAAGAAGUUGAUGCUUCAGUUUUCUUCGACCCCUCACUAAAAGUCCAUGUUCUCCUGGAUCCAUGUCACAUGCUCAAGCUUCUUCAGAAUGACUUUUCAACAGUCGAAGUUCUGGUGAGAGAAGAUGGCCAGCAGAUAAGACGGCAGUACAUGAAGGAGCUCCACAGGCUUCAGGAGAAGGAGGUUUUGCACCUUGGAAGACUGUAUUCAUGCUGUUCAAAUAAAAAUAGAUUUCCUCCUAACGACUUGAAAUCAAA